AUGGCCUUAGAUCUGAAAAGGAUAUUGACCAUGUGUGGAAAAGUCUCACUUAGCCCAGGAAGAGCGUUAGACAUCAGUAAAGACGCUUUUAUUAUCCUAAAAUGGACAACCGAAAUCUGUCAUCGCAAAGUCUAUGGAACAUUUCAAAGUCUGGUUUCAUUGAAAGCAGCAGGAAUUCAGGCAAGGGGACAGUUUCCAUGGAAAUACAAAGUAGCUGUAAACAUAGAGGGGGAAGUGAAGCAGGAAGUGGCUGACCCUGAUGACGCAGUUGAUGUCUUUUGAGAGGACGGGCAUGCAAAUUUGACACGUUUCUACCAUGUGCUUUUCAAUGCUGCAUGUAAAUUUUGCAAGUGCACAAAACAAAGCAGUAUUUGACUGGAUUUUAGAAAUGCUGAUUUUAUGUUGGUGGCGGCACGUAAGUUACCUUUAUCACCGAACAUAACUUUAAUCAUGCCGCUCCAAAAUUGUUAUUUCCCCUUUAUCAAAAGCACAUGCAUUUCAACGUGUUUAAAAUGAGCCACUCCACCCUCAGCUUCAGUUUCCUCUGUCAAACCACAGUAGGACACACAUUUUUGCAUCAGCCGUUACUAUUGCAGUCAUUGGCUGCUAGGGUAACACGAGUCACAAAGAUCGGCAAAGAUUACUGGCUGUCCAAGAUGUCAUGCCACCACUCCCCAAACCCCACACCCACAUUACCACUGCGAACUAAAAGUAAAACAUUAUGUCAUACUUCUGCAUGAGAUAUUUUAGACAUUAUUGCCUGAUGUGUUUUCAGUGGGAUGCUGGUACAGCAAAUUCAUUCAUUUUAUUUUUUUUACACCAGCCACUCACAAUGCCCAUUUAUUGACCUUCCUGGGCAGGGCUCCCAGAGAAAACGGCUAAAUAAACAGGUGAGGCGUAUGAUUUCUAAAUUUGGU
ensembl:lncRNA